CCCAGAGGUUCCAAUGCUUGCACUGUAAGGGUAAGUACAGAAUUUUUUUUUUUUCUGGUGAGCAGCCACAUAUUUCUGCCUCACGUGAAAAAUAAUCUCAAGAAGAAAUGUACCUGAGAAUGUAUAGCCCAGGAGCAUGAUGUUGUGACACCUGAUUGAUGGACCAUGUGGGGUGAUUGACUCCCCUGUACUUAGAAGGAAAUCAAAACCAAAGGUUCAAGUAAUAUUAAAGAGAAACAUUGUCAUAUUCCCUCUGGAACCCAUGCACGUCUUAGCUAACCUGCAGAGAGGAGUAGAAACCACUAGAACUGAAGGAGGCAGCUCUGUGCAAGGGUGACGGCCUUCUCCCCUCCCAGUUCCCUUAGUUCUGGAGUUCGAUGAAGGACGGGGUCCACACGGCCCACUCCGUUUCCUCUUUCUCUGAACCGGGGGUGCAGAACCUGAACCCAGACAACCCCUGGGUAUGAGUCCGGCCCCAGAUCACAGCUGUGGUUUUGGCUGCCGCAGUGACCUUGGCAAAGUCCUGAGUCGUUUGCUGUUGUGGGUAUGAUGGACAGCUGCGACGUUUUCCUGGACUCCCACUGAAAUCUUUAACUUCAAGAUCAUCUUCUCCAUCCCAACAGAACUCAUCAGGCCCAGAAGGCUCCCAGCCCCAGAGGUUCCCAGAGCUCUUCAGGUGGAAUGUUGAGUCUGCACAAGCCAGGAUGGUGACUCUGGAGAAGUUCUCCAGAAAAGAAUCAGCAUCUAGAGUCUCCUGAGUUCCAGGCCCUUAGAAAUUUAGACUCCAGAACCACUGCCAAAGUGACCCCCUCAGCCCAGCCCUUCGGUACCCAGCAUCCACUGUCCUCAGCCCAGCCCUUCCGUACCCAGCAUCCACUGUCCUGGUGGGAGUCCGCUGUGCUGCUCCAAGAAGACAGACCCUCACCAUUACCGGAAAGACUGACCCUCCUGUGUCCAGGUCCUGUGGCCCAGACUCAGCUCUGGAAGAGAAAUCUGGAUUUACAAUGCUCAGUACGUCGCUCAAAAUCUGCACUCGAUGACGUCUGUAAGCUCUUGGUCCCAGCCUGGGCUGCGAAGCCUGAGGCUUGGGCAGACAAUGCCGUCCCGC
rnacentral:lncRNA from 1 species